rnacentral:lncRNA from 1 species
AAAGUUGAAUUCUUUGAUUCGCUGUUUUACGUCAUGCCCGAUAACAAAUUGAAAACUGUACCUAUACGCCUUAUUUUAGCCACAGAUUUUUAGUAUUCGUAUUGUUAUCUUAGAAAGUCUUACUGAUUAAAAUACUACAAUAGGUAACAAUUUGACAAUUUAGUAGUGUCAACCCUGUGAUUAUGACCCGUGUAUAUAGCAUAUUAAUCCUGAAUACACCGUUUGGUGGUGCGCCUGUCAGAUGCAGAACGUACAGAUAAGGUAAUAGGUAACAGUUGAAUAUACUAUUGGUAUCGGUAUCAGACUCGACCCGGAACUUCUUAAUUAUUGGCAAUAUUAAUUACGUGGAAAACAAAAGGGCCUGGAGUGGUGUAAUUAUUAAUCUACACCUUUGUACUAUAUUAGUUAUAUAUAAAGUUGAAUUCUUUGAUUCGUCGUUUUUACGUGAUGACGGCUGACAAAUUGGACCUCGUAAUUUUAGUACUAUAGAUAU